AGGUAAGCUACUAAGAGCGAAUGGUGGAUGCCUUGACUGGUAAAGGCGAUGAAGGACGUACUAGACUGCGAUAAGCUACGGGGAGCUGUCAAGAAGCUUUGAUCCGUAGAUUUCCGAAUGGGGCAACCCAAUGUAUAGAGAUAUACAUUACCUAUAUAGGAGCGAACGAGGGGAAUUGAAACAUCUUAGUACCCUCAGGAAAAGAAAUCAAUAGAGAUUGCGUCAGUAGCGGCGAGCGAAAGCGCAAGAGGGCAAACCCAGUGCUUGCACUGGGGGUUGUAGGACUGCAAUGUGCAAGAGCUAAGUUUAGCAGAACAUUCUGGAAAGUAUAGCCAUAGAGGGUGAUAGUCCCGUAUGCGAAAAACAAAGCUUAGCUAGCAGUAUCCUGAGUAGGGCGGGACACGAGGAAUCCUGUCUGAAUCCGGGUCGACCACGAUCCAACCCUAAAUACUAAUACCAGAUCGAUAGUGCACAAGUACCGUGAGGGAAAGGUGAAAAGAACUGAGGUGAUCAGAGUGAAAUAGAACCUGAAACCAUUUGCUUACAAUCAUUCAGAGCACUAUGUAGCAAUACAGUGUGAUGGACUGCCUUUUGCAUAAUGAGCCUGCGAGUUGUGGUGUCUGGCAAGGUUAAGCAAACGCGAAGCCGUAGCGAAAGCGAGUCUGAAUAGGGCGCUUAGUCAGAUGCUGCAGACCCGAAACGAAGUGAUCUAUCCAUGAGCAAGUUGAAGCUAGUGUAAGAACUAGUGGAGGACUGAACCCAUAGGCGUUGAAAAGCCCCGGGAUGACUUGUGGAUAGGGGUGAAAGGCCAAUCAAACUUCGUGAUAGCUGGUUCUCUCCGAAAUAUAUUUAGGUAUAGCGUUGUGUCGUAAUAUAAGGGGGUAGAGCACUGAAUGGGCUAGGGCAUACACCAAUGUACCAAACCCUAUCAAACUCCGAAUACCUUAUAUGUAAUCACAGCAGUCAGGCGGCGAGUGAUAAAAUCCGUCGUCAAGAGGGAAACAACCCAGACUACCAGCUAAGGUCCCUAAAUCUUACUUAAGUGGAAAACGAUGUGAAGUUACUUAAACAACCAGGAGGUUGGCUUAGAAGCAGCCAUCCUUUAAAGAAAGCGUAAUAGCUCACUGGUCUAGUGAUUUUGCGCGGAAAAUAUAACGGGGCUAAAGUAAGUACCGAAGCUGUAGACUUAGUUUACUAAGUGGUAGGAGAGCGUUCUAUUUGCGUCGAAGGUAUACCGGUAAGGAGUGCUGGAGCGAAUAGAAGUGAGCAUGCAGGCAUGAGUAGCGAUAAUUAAUGUGAGAAUCAUUAACGCCGUAAACCCAAGGUUUCCUACGCGAUGCUCGUCAUCGUAGGGUUAGUCGGGUCCUAAGUCGAGUCCGAAAGGGGUAGACGAUGGCAAAUUGGUUAAUAUUCCAAUACCAACAUUAGUGUGCGAUGGAAGGACGCUUAGGGCUAAGGGGGCUAGCGGAUGGAAGUGCUAGUCUAAGGUCGUAGGAGGUUAUACAGGAAAAUCCGUAUAACAAUACUCCGAGAACUGAAAGGCUUUUUGAAGUCUUCGGAUGGAUAGAAGAACCCCUGAUGCCGUCGAGCCAAGAAAAGUUUCUAAGUUUAGCUAAUGUUGCCCGUACCGUAAACCGACACAGGUGGGUGGGAUGAGUAUUCUAAGGCGCGUGGAAGAACUCUCUUUAAGGAACUCUGCAAAAUAGCACCGUAUCUUCGGUAUAAGGUGUGGUUAGCUUUGUAUUAGGAUUUACUCCGAAAGCGAAGAAACUUACAACAAAGAGUCCCUCCCGACUGUUUACCAAAAACACAGCACUCUGCUAACUCGUAAGAGGAUGUAUAGGGUGUGACGCCUGCCCGGUGCUCGAAGGUUAAUUGAUGGGGUUAGCAUUAGCGAAGCUCUUGAUCGAAGCCCGAGUAAACGGCGGCCGUAACUAUAACGGUCCUAAGGUAGCGAAAUUCCUUGUCGGUUAAAUACCGACCUGCAUGAAUGGCGUAACGAGAUGGGAGCUGUCUCAAAGAGGGAUCCAGUGAAAUUGUAGUGGAGGUGAAAAUUCCUCCUACCCGCGGCAAGACGGAAAGACCCCGUGGACCUUUACUACAGCUUGACACUGCUACUUGGAUAAGAAUGUGCAGGAUAGGUGGGAGGCUUUGA
rnacentral:rRNA from 1 species